CAGAGAAUAGUUUAAUUAAAAUAUUAAUUUUGGAGAUUAAUGAUAGAACUACUUGUUUUUUCUCUGA
rnacentral:tRNA from 1 species